rnacentral:rRNA from 1 species
UUGGAGGGCAAGUCUGGUGCCAGCAGCCGCGGUAAUUCCAGCUCCAAUAGCGUAUAUUAAAGUUGCUGCAGUUAAAAAGCUCGUAGUUGGAUUUCGGAACCAAUAUGUUGGUUGUGCCUCGGUACGUACUGGCAUUGUUGGUUUCUCCCUUCUGACGAACUAUGAUGUCAUUAAUUUGGUGUCAUGGGGAAUCAGGACUGUUACCUUGAAAAAAUUAGAGUGUUUAAAGCAGGCUCACGCUUGAAUACAUUAGCAUGGAAUAAUGAAAUAGGACGUUUGAUUCUAUUUUGUUGGUUUCUAGGAUUGACGUAAUGAUUAAUAGGGAUAGUUGGGGGCAUUAGUAUUCAAUUGUCAGAGGUGAAAUUCUUGGAUUUAUUGAAGACUAACUACUGCGAAAGCAUUUGCCAAGGAUGUUUUCAUUAAUCAAGAACGAAAGUUAGGGGAUCGAAGACGUUCAGAUACCGUCGUAGUCUUAACCAUAAACUAUGCCGACUAGGGAUCGGAUGAUGUUAAUUUUUUAAUGACUCAUUCGGCACCUUACGGGAAAC